UGGCGAACGGGUGAGUAACACGUGGGUAAUCUGCCCUGCACUCUGGGAUAAGCCUGGGAAACUGGGUCUAAUACUGGAUAUGACCUUUCUCCUUAUGGGGUUUGGUGGAAAGUUUUUCGGUGUAGGAUGAGCCCGCGGCCUAUCAGCUUGUCGGUGGGGUGAUGGCCUACCAAGGCGACGACGGGUAGCCGGCCUGAGAGGGUGAUCGGCCACAUUGGGACUGAGAUACGGCCCAG
rnacentral:rRNA from 1 species